UACGGAGGGUGCGAGCGUUGUCCGGAAUCACUGGGCGUAAAGGGCGCGUAGGCGGCGCGGAAAGUCGUCGGUGAAAGCUCGGGGCUCAACCCUGAGUCUGCCGGUGAUACUCCCGCGCUCGAGCUCACUAGAGGCAGAUGGAAUUCCGGGUGUAGCGGUGGAAUGCGUAGAGAUCCGGAAGAACACCGGUGGCGAAGGCGGGUCUCUGGGCAAUAACUGACGCUGAGGAGCGAAAGCGUGGGGAGCGAACAGG
rnacentral:rRNA from 1 species